ACUUUGACUGCUGCGUACGCACUUAUCUUCCCAGAUUUCAGGGCUGUUGAAGACAUCUGAUCUCAAGACUUUGUGUUCAAUGGAUGGGGGGAAAAAAGGACAGAAACCCUGCAAGACAAUGACAAGUACAAGGUAUUCACCUGCUUCUGAAAACAAAGCCAUUGUGAAAGAGAAAGAUGCCCAUUCUGAAAGAGAAAAAAUGAAAUUGGAACAGCAGCAGAUUGAUGAAGAGAAGAAGAGGUGAGCAAAGUUCUACCAUUCCUUGGCCCAGAAGCAGACUAAAGGCCCUCCAUACAUCCCAACUAUCACUGCCAUAGUUUUGGAGAGAGAAGACAAUGUAAGAACUCUUUGAUCAGUGGACUAUCUGAAUUACCAAGACAAAAUCAGGAUAAUGAGCUAAGACACCAGAAGAUGAAGAAAUUCCCAGUGAAAUCUAACCUCACAAAGACUAUUAUAUUUCUUUUUUGUGUCUGUAUCUUUCCUACUCCUGACUAAAAUGACAAUGAAUGCUUGUUCAGAGUCAUGCAAAAUUCUUAACAAUGGUUUACCUAAUCCUAACAACCUCAUCAGAUGGCCACUGGAAAUACUCCGCUUCAUAGAGGGGUGUGGGGAUCCUGGCACUCCACACCCCGCAUCUGCCAGCUGGCUCGGUGGGUGACAGGCUAAAUUGGUGCAUGCCACUGAAUUUAGCCUCAUGUGAAGAGGUUGUCAGAAACACCAGAAAACCCUCAGACAAAAAAUGACAUGAUCUCAUACCAAUAAUUAAAAAAGCAUUUAAACAAUAAAUAUGGUCUAGGCCCACACUAUGAUGGAGCUGCAUUCACCUGAGUGUGAAUUACCUUCAAUUGGGAAGUUUUAAGGGUAAAUGAUUGUCUGGAGAAUAGAUUUCCCUAACACUGGUGAAACGUCCAUAUAGUGCCCAGCUAAUUUAGCUUUAGAAAAGUGACACAGAUUUUAACUUAGUUAAUAUAAAUACGUUAUCUUAUCCAAUCCAGAUAUGAAUUCUGGAUUUAACAAGCUAACAUACUGUUUUGGGUGAAAGGAAAGGGUAAUAAAAUACUAAAGGUUGAAGAGGAUGAAGCGAUGCUAGAGUUCCUUUAAAGAAAAAUACGACUGCUCUUGUGGCUGUGGAAUAGUCAUGGGAUUGCA